UCGGGUUAAGCAAACGCCGUGCAGAACACUUCAUGCGCCUGGCUACUCGCUAAGACCGGCAUUAUCAGACGCUGCCACCUCCCACAUCAUCCACUUCCUAAGAGCGAAGGGGAGAUCAAUCGGCUUCUAAUGCGUGUUCUUUUAGGUUCAUGGUACAGAAGAAGGGUCAAGCUACCGCCGGGGUUAUAAAACUACAUCUGGAAAUGCUCAGAACUCCUACGAAAGCCUUGUCAAAUAACUGUACUUUAGCGGCGAAAUGUUUAAAAAUAUGGUCCCUGUUCAGACGCUGCCACCUCCCACAUCAUCCACUUCCUAAGACCGAAGGGGAGAUGAAUCGGGUUCUAAUGCGUGUUCUUUUAGGUUCAUGGUACAGCAGAAGGGUCAAACUACCACCGGGGCUCAAAAAACUACCCCUGGAAAUGCUCAAAGCUCCCUCGAAAGCCUUGACAAAUAGGUGUUCUUAGGAGCCAUUUCUACUUCGUUUUCACCUCUCGCCUCAACGCUUAACUAUGCCGAAUGAAAAGGAGAUCAGUCGAGUUCUAAUGAGUGUUUCUUUAGGUUCAUGGUACAGAAGAAGGGUCAAGCUACCACCUGGGCUCAAAAAACUACCCCUGGAAAUGCUCAAAGCUCCCACGAAAGCCUUGACAAAUAGGUGUUCUUAGGAGCCAUUUCUACUUCGUUUUCACCUCUCACAUCAACGCUUAACUAUGCCGAAUUGAAAAGGAGGUUAGUCGAGUUCUAAUGAGUGUUUCUUUAAGUUCAUGGUACAGCAGAAGGGUCAAACUACCACUGGGGCUCAAAAAACUACCCCUGGAAAUGCUCAAAGCUCCCACGAAAGCCUUGACAAAUAGGUGUUCUGAGGCGCCAG